UAAUCUUUAUUAUUUUACUAUUAUACAAACCGCAGUGACACAGAUUGGUCUUUCUCUAAUCUACGAUUUGAUGGUUGACUGACGUUCAAGGCCAAGGUACAUGGUGGUUUGGUGAAGAUGAUGCAUUGUAGACGUCAUCUACGGUAGGUUGUUUUUUUGUCUUAGUUCAGUCUGAAGGAACGGAACUUUCCUGGCAGAACUUUCCUUUUAUACUGUCUGGUCCCCUGUUGUUCACUUCCUUAUACUGGAUCAUAAUGGUCUGUUUAGGACACUUGUGCAUUUUUUUUUUUUUUGAAAGGUUAACCUAUUGUGCCACAGUCCAUACAGUAAUCAGUGUUCUGGAAAAGACCGUGCGUUGCUAGAUCACCAUGAAAACAACAGGACUAAUGGAAGACACUGUUACGUUGCUACGUCCGUGGCCACCAUGUUUGUUUUAAAACAGUUCCUCCGGCUUCAUGAACUGUGGGAAGAUGAGUCAAGCCAGCAAGAGCGUAGACGCCUCAGGAGAUUGGCACCGCCUAGAUGGCUCCUCACAGGUGCUGUGGAGAGAUCGUCUUUUCCUGUCUGAAGUGUUUGGAUCCCUAACCAGGACCCCAGAUUCUGCGUGCACCACCUUUUCGGAAUAUAUCUAUUUGACUGGGUGGUGCUGUUUCUUUCUUUUGUCUAGAUAGAUAGAUAUGAGAUAGAUCAAAAUAAAUAGAGCUUGAGAAAGGCCAGGUGAGCUGGCAGAAACAUUGCUGUGACGCUACUUUGAAUAUGGAAUAAACUUCAUUUUUAUUGAAUCAAGAGUGCUGCGGAUUCAUCAAACAUUUUUGGAUUACAUAUGGACCCCUGACCCAGGUCUGGUUCUGCGUGCACCGCCUAUUUAUUGGAAUAUUGGA